UACGUAGGGUGCGAGCGUUGUCCGGAAUUAUUGGGCGUAAAGAGCUCGUAGGCGGCUUGUCGCGUCGGAUGUGAAAGCCCGGGGCUUAACUCCGGGUCUGCAUUCGAUACGGGCAGGCUAGAGUUCGGUAGGGGAGAUCGGAAUUCCUGGUGUAGCGGUGAAAUGCGCAGAUAUCAGGAGGAACACCGGUGGCGAAGGCGGAUCUCUGGGCCGAUACUGACGCUGAGGCGCGAAAGCUAGGGGAGCAAACGGG
rnacentral:rRNA from 1 species